AUUAUUCCUCUAACCAUUUUUUUUUUCAGCAGCAAAUUUAAGAACUGUUACUUUGAAUCUGUACUCUGUUCGUCUUACAAAAAUGUCCAUGCCGACCGAAAUUGACUGAUUUUUGUACAGACGAGUCAAAAUUUCCUGUACAAAACCCACUUUACUUACUCCAUUAUCUUCCUGUAAUCAUAACUUUCCGUCCUGUGUCCUUUUUAUCGUUUUUCUUAUGGCCUUGUUCUCUUUACCUGUCAGGAAAGAGAAGAGGAUCGAAAAGGAAAGUGGAAACUCCCUUUUGAGAUUAUAGAGUUUCUCUUCAAGCGCAUCAAUCUUUUGUAUCUUCUAUCAAUUGAUUUUGUAAGUGAAAAAUUCCAGUUGUUUGGUUUCUUCUUCUCUUUUUGACUCGUGCGGAAGAAGCAACUACAGAGCUAGCAGGCUGCAGUUGGGUUGCGGAGAAAACUAUAAAAUUUAUACAUGGAAGCCAUAAAGAAGCAAGCUAGUAAGCUCAGGGAGCAAGUCGCGAAGCAACAGCAAGUGGGUAACUCUUAAUUAUACUUCUUUCCUGAAAUUAAUUCUGUUCUGUUUUUGUUAAAGUAAUUAGCAACUGUUAAGAAAUUUCUUGAUUUUGAUGAUGAUGAUGAUGGAUUUGUGCGCAGAAGUAGUUAUAGAGGUCUAUCCGUGUAGUGGGUUAUUCAUGUAUUUCUAGAUGGCUAUGUGUGUCCAUCCGGGUAGCUGUUUUGUUGGAAAAUACACUAUGCAAGCAAUUAUGUGUGUGUGUGUGUGUGUGUGUGUGUGUGGGAGCAUGUACUGACUAUAAAGGCAUUCUCAGUUUGAUCCAUGCUAAACUUAGUGAUCCAAGAGCAACUUUGGAAACUAGACUUAGGGCUAUGUUUGGCAUAAAUAAAAGUUAAUAUAAGUGUGAAUUUACUGGUGAAUUUUAAGAUAUUUCUGGAUUUUUUUUUCAAACAUAGCCUAGGAGUUCUUAAAGAUUAGGUUUUUCCUUAAGUUUAUUAGGUACGUUAGAUUUCUAAUUUUACUAUUUAACUUUUCAAUUUAAAUUUGUUACUCCAUAGUGGUUUACAUUCAAUCUCUGUAGUUUUUACAUUCAAAUGAGUCUUUAAAAGCUAAAAACAAGUGAGGCGUGAAAAGUUAAGGGACAAAGCCUUUGAUGGGCUGCAUAAUAGGUGCAGGGAGACCAUUCUUCUGAAGGUACUUAUGAGAGGGAUGAGACUUUUCACCAAGCAAGUGUCUUGAGACUUGAGAGUGGAGUUGAUACAAUCCUUUUAAUCCAUGAAGCCAAUCUUAAAUCCAUCCUGGUAGAGUUUAUUACCCCAACCGGCCUUGUCUAACUAUUUUUAUCCCAUUUGAUAUCCGUGUGUCUUCGGAUACAGAUGGUGGGUUACUAACGUACACUUGGCAAAGGUAUUUUUCCUCUUAUGAUGGUAAUGUCAGUUAUUGCAUUAAAACUAGAUGUCCCAGAGGACUGUGAGUGCAGAAGACAACAAUUUCUUAGAACUUUGUGUUUAAAGCUAAGGGUACUAGAGAACCCAAUGAGAUUGUAAAUGACCUGAAUUGAAGGUUGGAAAUUGUGGGCUCUCAUGGGAAGCUGGCCUAGUUAUUUCUCCUGAAACUUAUGGGAGGAAGAGAGACAGGGGAAUUCAAAGUAACAAAUGUUAGCUGCUCUGAUUGGUUAGCAUACCUUAAAGUUAGAAGGGGAAGUUGAUUUUCCAGUUAAGAUUCUUAUUGGGUAUGUCAAUGGCCCAGGGAAUAUGUUUAAAUGUAAAAAGAUGGGUUGGAAAAUCUCUUAAUAUUCUAUCUUAACAUUAGGAAAUAAAUCUUUUUGAAAUUAUGGCAUACCAAUUAAGAAAUCCCACUAAAUAUGGAUAUGAAAUUUGAUUUGAUGUACCUAGUUUCCUAUUUUUUGUUCCUUCGUAAAAGCUCUAUAUAUACCCAUAUAUAUGCUCAUUCUUUGUUCCACAAGAAAUUCAGUCUCUCUCCAAAUUGUACAUGGUAUGUGGACCCUACGCUGUUGUUUUUUUAAAAAAGAAAGUUCGAAGCCUUGUCUCCUUAAAGUUGCUCUAGCACGUAUCCCUAGUGCACACCUAUUGUCUCUGUGUGUACCUGUGCACGUUAAGGUCGCCCUGAUAUGUUGUCUCCUCAACUUUCUUAAGUUUCUUUUUUUUUUUCCCAUGGCCUUCAUUGUUGCAUAGUUAACGCUAGCCUUCAUUGUUGGCUCCUUCAUUGCCGCACAGCUGACAUGGGCCUUUAUUAGUAGCUCCACCAGCCUUAAUCGCUAGGAUCCUUGUCGGACCUCUCUGUUGCCAGAUCCUUGCAGGAGGAGUCCAAUGCACAUUCUGGAGAAGAAAAUGUCAAAAAUAGAUAAAAAUGAUAUUCUUUUUCAACACCACUGAUCAGACGGAGUAGGUUCACAUCAACCGAUUCUGAAAAGGGAAAUUCAAUCAUCUCCUAGGAGCAAGACUGAAGGAAGGAGAUCGAAGAUUUGAUUUGUGGGAUGAAACAAAUUCAAUGAUCAUGUCAUCGGAGAAGCAUAAUGGUGCACACUUUCUUGCACUCUUAGGCAAGUUUUCUAUAUCUCAAGGAUUAUCUGUCUUAGAUGAUGAACCUAUUAGGAACUUGUGGAUUUUUAUCUCAUGACCCACAAAUCAUAUGACCAAUUCUUUUACUAAAUUUUAGUAUUUGUACCCCUUGUCCAAGUAAUUGAAAGAGAACCUUUGCAAAUAUUUCCGUCAUUAUCGUAGCUGAUCUAUUAGAUAUUCAUAUCCGUCCAUUUCUUAAAUUAAUAAAUGUUCUCCAUGUCCAUAAAUCCCACCGAUCUCAUAUGCAUACAAUAACUUACUCAUGAUAUAAGUUAUUGUGUACUUUUCCAUCCUUCUUAUUGUAUAUUUUAAGAGUGAUUUGGGGAAGAAGAUUGGACGUGCUAGGGAACAUAGCGAGUUCUUGUAUCUUGAAGAAUCUGGUAAAUGGAGUUUAGUAAAAAAUAAAGGAUCUCUGUCAUUUUUCUCAUUAUCCACAAAGACAUUAUUUGCCUUCAUCAUUUUAGACUUAGGCACCUGUCUUUUGGAAUUUUAAAACUAUGUUUCUUUCUUGAUUAAAGGAUUGAGGGUUUGAUACUUUUCAUCGUAAUGUGUGUGAAUAUGCAAAAUAUGGAUGUGUUCUUUUUCCAAUCUGCAAUCAAAGAAACUCAGACCUGUUUUAAUUGAUGGAUACUCAUAUUUAGGGACCUUUUUGUCUGACUUAUGAGUCUUUCUUUGAAUAAAAACUGAUGCAGAUCUCCAGAAAAAUUCAUUAAACUUGUUGGAAAUAUGCAACAAAGUAAUUCAAGUAUUGGAAAUAUGCAGAAAAUUAAAACAAGUGUUGGAAAUAUGCAGAUCUACAUUGAAUCAGCACAAGUCAUUGGAAAUUUGUUUUUGGAAGUUGUAUAAUUAUUAAAUCUGAUUUAAUGUUUAUGUUAACUACUUUUAAUUUGUUCUCUAUAUAAGGAGCUGAUGUAUGCUGAAAAUCUAUCAAUAAAAAAUUAUGAGAUCACUAAAAAUAUUUUCAAGUAAGGUAGAGUUAUAAGUUUGGGACCUCAGUUUCAAAAAAUGAAGGUUAGUUCUUAAUAAAUAAAGGGAAGCGGGCACAAAGUUCAGAAGAUUCAUCAAAAAAAGGAAAAUAACCUCCUUGUGAAAGUUGUGGUAAAUUUAAUUAUCUUGAGAGCAAAUGUUGGAAGCAUGUACAAUGCAUUAUUUGCAAAAAGGUCAUUCAAAGAAAGUGUGCUAGAAGAGAAAAAAUUAAACAUCAUAGCAAAAUAAUGAGCCUCAACAAUAGCAGUAAGCAUUUCAGCAACAACAAGUCUAUUUUGCUGAGAAGCAUGAACAAUAAGAAAAUCAUCUUUUUAUAAUGACUGAGGCCUCUUGUGUGAGUGAAAAUGACUUGUGGUAUGUGGACAGUGGGUGCACAAGCCAUAUGACCGAGGAUUGUAUGUUGUUUAGUAACAUUGAUGUUAAUUGCAGAACUAAAGUGAAAUUUGACAAUAGGACAGUUGUGAAAGUUCAAGAAAAAGACUCAAUACUAGUUCAAACUAAGUAAGGUACCAAAUUCAUAAUUGGUGUGCUCUUUAUUUCUGAUUUAGAAUAAAAUUUGUUGAGUAUUGCUCAAAUGUAAAACAAGUGCUAUUCCAUUUUGUUAAAAAAUGAUUAUUGUUUUAUUUAUGAUCUUACAAAUGUGCUAAUAACAAACAUGAAGAAAAAUGAAAAUAGUUAUGAGUUUAGUAUGAAAUAUGCAAAUCAACAUGUUUGUGUUGCUGAGGAUGAUUUGACCUGGUUGUGACACAAAAGAUUUGACCAUGACUGUUGACUCUUUUAAGUUUAUGUAAAAGAGUAGGAAUGUGCUUGUUGAU
rnacentral:lncRNA from 1 species